ACCUGGCUGGCUCAGUUGGUAGAGCAUGUGACUUUUAAUCUCAGGGUUGUGAGUUCAAGCCCUAUGUUUGGCA
rfam:Canis lupus familiaris chromosome 11, whole genome shotgun sequence.